rnacentral:rRNA from 1 species
UGAACGCUGGCGGCAUGCCUUACACAUGCAAGUCGAACGGCAGCACGGGUGCUUGCACCUGGUGGCGAGUGGCGAACGGGUGAGUAAUACAUCGGAACGUACCCUGUUGUGGGGGAUAACUAGUCGAAAGAUUAGCUAAUACCGCAUACGACCUGAGGGUGAAAGUGGGGACCGCAAGGCCUCACGCAGCAGGAGCGGCCGAUGUCUGAUUAGCUAGUUGGUGGGGUAAAGGCCCACCAAGGCGACGAUCAGUAGCUGGUCUGAGAGGACGAUCAGCCACACUGGGACUGAGACACGGCCCAGACUCCUACGGGAGGCAGCAGUGGGGAAUUUUGGACAAUGGGGGCAACCCUGAUCCAGCAAUGCCGCGUGUGUGAAG